AGACGGAGGGCGCAAGCGUUGUUCGGAAUUACUGGGCGUAAAGCGCGCGUAGGCGGUUCGAUAAGUCUGAUGUGAAAGCCCUGGGCUUAACCUGGGAAUGGCAUUGGAUACUGUUGAACUAGAGUGCGGGAGAGGAGAGUGGAAUUCUCGGUGUAGCGGUGAAAUGCGUAGAUAUCGGGAGGAACACCAGUGGCGAAGGCGGCUCUCUGGACUGACACUGACGCUGAGGUGCGAAAGCGCGGGUAGCAAACAGGAUUAGAAACCCCGGUAGUCC
rnacentral:rRNA from 1 species